ACCUAUGAUCAAUGGACCUAUCCAUAGAGCCUAUGUCAUUCACAUGGGAAACUCCUAACAAGACUGGAACAAAAAAAUCCCAGAAGUGUUAUUAAAGAGACCAACACUCAUGCAGAGACCAACAACAUUUGCCGACGAAAAUGGGAAACAAAACAUCAUAUUAGUAAUCCCAUUUAUAGAACCAACAACUACAACAGAACCAACAUAGACCAACGGCCAACAUCAGCAGAACAGAUUAUUAUUGUCCUUUGUAUUUGUUUUCUCCUGAUUGUGGUUGCUGCUCUAUUAGUUUGCACUUCAACACACUGGAAAAGGGAAGCUUUGGACGGUUGUUAUUGUAAAUGAGUAUACACAUGUGAACGUUGGUAAAUCCAGUGAAUAGCUGAUGGAGGAAGUUAUUUACAGUGACCUGGUGAGCCUAUAGGGCCUGACACCAAACCUUCAAUAGCCACAGAGAUUACUGCCAGCACUGGAAUCGGAAAUUCUGAAGUUUCAAAUGAUUUAUAAUGCACAAAUAUGCAUGUUUUUAGUAUUGGAAUCCUUUUAACUUUAAUGUGUUUGUAAUGAGGCUACUAAAGGUGUAAAUAAAUAUGUUAGAUUUCUAUCAA